UUCACCCUACGGGAGGCAGCAGGGAAGAAAGCAAUGACGGUACCUGACCAAGAAGCCCCGGCUAACUACGUGCCAGCAGCCGCGGUAAUACGUAGGGGGCAAGCGUUAUCCGGAAUUACUGGGUGUAAAGGGAGCGUAGACGGCUGUGCAAGUCUGGAGUGAAAGGCGGGGGCCCAACCCCCGGACUGCUCUGGAAACUGUAUGGCUGGAGUGCAGGAGAGGUAAGCGGAAUUCCUAGUGUAGCGGUGAAAUGCGUAGAUAUUAGGAGGAACACCAGUGGCGA
rnacentral:rRNA from 1 species